rnacentral:rRNA from 1 species
CGGACGGGUGAGUAACGCGUGAGUAACCUGCCUUACACAAGGGGAUAGCCGUUGGAAACGACGAAUAAUACCCUAUGACAUAAACUCCUCGCAUGAGGAGCUUAUCAAAGAUUUAUCGGUGUAAGAUGUACUCGCGUCUGAUUAGCUAGUUGGUGAGGUAACGGCCCACCAAGGCGACGAUCAGUAGCCGGCUUGAGAGAGUGUACGGCCACAUUGGGACUGAGACACGGCCCAGACUCCUACGGGAGGCAGCAGUU